rnacentral:rRNA from 1 species
UACGGAGAGUGCUAGCGUUGUUCGGAAUUACUGGGCGUAAAGGGCGUCUAGGCGGCCUGACAAGUCAGAUGUGAAAUGCCUGGGCUCAACCGAGGACGUGCAUCUGAAACUAACAGGCUCGAGUAUCGGAGGGGGCAGCGGAAUUCCCGGUGUAGAGGUGAAAUUCGUAGAUAUCGGGAGGAACACCAGUGGCGAAGGCGGCUGCCUGGCCGGAUACUGACGCUGAAGCGCGAAAGCGUGGGGAGCAAACAGG